AGUGAACGCUGGCGGUAGGCCUAACACAUGCAAGUCGAACGGCAGCACAGUAAGAGCUUGCUCUUACGGGUGGCGAGUGGCGGACGGGUGAGGAAUACAUCGGAAUCUACUUUUUCGUGGGGGAUAACGUAGGGAAACUUACGCUAAUACCGCAUACGACCUACGGGUGAAAGCAGGGGAUCUUCGGACCUUGCGCGAUUGAAUGAGCCGAUGUCGGAUUAGCUAGUUGGCGGGGUAAAGGCCCACCAAGGCGACGAUCCGUAGCUGGUCUGAGAGGAUGAUCAGCCACACUGGAACUGAGACACGGUCCCGACUCCUACGGGAGGCAGCAGUGGGGAAUAUUGGACAAUGGACGCAAGCCUGAUCCAGCCAUACCGCGUGGGUGAAGAAGGCCUUCGGGUUGUAAAGCCCUUUUGUUGGGAAAGAAAAGCAGCAGGUUAAUACCCCGCUGUUCUGACGGUACCCAAAGAAUAAGCACCGGCUAACUUCGUG
rnacentral:rRNA from 1 species